ACACAGGAGCAGCGCAGAGUUGCCAUGGAAACGGACAAACAACAACUGACAAGCAGCAAAAACAGCAGUCUCUCGCUGUUGUUUUCACUUCUUUCAGAAACGAUUUAGUGUCUUCGAAAAACUCCGUUAGCAUCUCCGUUAGCAUCCCGUUUUCAGAAGAGCAGCGACAAAAUAGCCCCUCUACAACAGAGGGGAAGCUCCGAAGAUUUCAACAUUUCUGAAGGAAGCUGCUGACAGAAGAAGGAGACACAGAUACUUCCCUGCUGAUGCUCUGCACCAUAGCAGAGUUGGAGCGGAUAAAAAAGUUCCUGUCAGACCACAUGACUAGAUGCCCAGCAAGGUUACUAGAGGUUACGGCAGCUCCAGUUUGGAUCCAACCUCACUUUUGAAGACUUCAGAUGAUGGAAACUAUGGACUUG